rnacentral:rRNA from 1 species
UGGGGGAUAUUGCACAAUGGGCGAAAGCCUGAUGCAGCGACGCCGCGUGGGGGAUGAAGGCUUUCGGGUUGUAAACCUCUUUCGCUAUCGAACAAGGCCCGCUUAGGGUGGGUUGAGGGUAGGUGGAGAAGAAGCGCCGGCUAACUACGUGCCAGCAGCCGCGGUAAUACGUAGGGCGCGAGCGUUGUCCGUAAUUAUUGGGCGUAAAGGGCUUGUAGGCGGCUUGUUGCGCCUGCUGUGAAAACGCGGGGCUUAACUUCGCGCGUGCAGUGGGUACGGGCAGGCUUGAGUGUGGUAGGGGUGACUGGAAUUCCAGGUGUAGCGGUGGAAUGCGCAGAUAUCUGGAGGAACACCGAUGGCGAAGGCAGGUCACUGGGCCAUUACUGACGCUGCGGAGCGAAAGCAUGGGUAGCGAACAGG